rnacentral:rRNA from 1 species
UACAGAGGUCCCAACCGUUGUUCGGAUUCAUUGGGCGUAAAGGGUGCGUAGGCGGCGGGGCAAGUCAGGUGUGAAAUCUCGGGGCUCAACCCCGAAACUGCACUUGAUACUGCCUUGCUCGAGUACUGGAGAGGAGACUGGAAUUUACGGUGUAGCAGUGAAAUGCGUAGAUAUCGUAAGGAAGACCAGUGGCGAAGGCGAGUCUCUGGACAGUUACUGACGCUGAGGCACGAAGGCCAGGGAGGCAAACGGG